UACGUAGGUGCAAGCGUUGUCCGGAAUUAUUGGGCGUAAAGAGCUCGUAGGCGGUCUGUCGCGUCUGCUGUGAAAACUCGGGGCUUAACCCCGGGCCUGCAGUGGGUACGGGCAGACUAGAGUGCGGUAGGGGAGACUGGAAUUCCUGGUGUAGCGGUGAAAUGCGCAGAUAUCAGGAGGAACACCGGUGGCGAAGGCGGUUCUCUGGGCAUUGACCUGACGCUGGAGGCGCGAAAGCGUGGGGAGCGAACGGG
rnacentral:rRNA from 1 species